AUUUUCACCAACCUUUGGUCAUGUCAAUAUUUUUAAUUUUAUCUGUUUGACUGGGUGUGUAGUUGUGGCAUUGUGAUUUAAUUUGCAUAUUUUUGGUGGCUAGGCUAAAGAUAUUGAGCAAUUUGCCUUUGAUUCUUGUCGCUGCUCUGAACCGUAUGUGUCCACAGUCAAACGGGAAUGCAGAUCCAGCCCUUCAACAAUCAUGAACACAGCUGCAGGAUUCAUGCCUUCUUGUCAGCCCUAUGCCAAAGGUCCCCAGUACUAAGAAAUGUCAGAUGAUGGGAAAAGAACAAGUCACUGACACAGGCCAGUGGUAAAGUCUUGAGGAACGCAGGAAAAGGAGUUGAUGUGAGAGGCAUAUCAUGAGGCGGGUUUGGAGCUCACAUAAAACCGGGUAAGAAACAGUUGCGCGCUCUGCAGCACUGCUUCCUACAGGCUAUGGAGACAGUGGGCAUCCUGUCACGGG
rnacentral:lncRNA from 1 species